UACGAAGGUGGCAAGCGUUGUUCGGAUUUACUGGGCGUACAGGGAGCGUAGGCGGUUGGAUAAGCCCUCCGUGAAAUCUCCAGGCUUAACCUGGAAAGUGCAGAGGGGACUGUUCAGCUAGAGUAUGGGAGAGGGAAGUGGAAUUUCCGGUGUAGCGGUGAAAUGCGUAGAUAUCGGAAGGAACAUCAGUGGCGAAGGCGACUUCCUGGACCAAUACUGACGCUGAGGAGCGAAAGCCAGGGGAGCAAACAGG
rnacentral:rRNA from 1 species